ACAUUUUGAGGAACAUUUCUAAAGAUUUCCUGAGGCCUCUGAAGAGAUCUGAAGAUCUACAACCACCAAAAAUGGGCUGAUAUAUUUUGGAGAUUACAGCACGGUAGUGAACAGCUUUGGGUAUUGAAAGAUGGAGUUCGACUACCAGCUCUGUCAUUUACCAGCUUAGUGGCCGCAGCAGCAAUUUGUCUAAAUUUGGAGACUUUACCAAGGGGGCUGAUUCAACUAUAUUUCCAAAAGAGACCAAUGAUUGAUUCAGCUUCUGGCCCCAUUGGAUACUUGAACAGCGGAUGA
rnacentral:lncRNA from 1 species